GGCGUUUGGACAACGCAGUCGACAGAGCUCAUAGAGCGCCACAGAAGAAGCUUUUGAUUUGUACACGUCACACAACAAGCGGCGCCUACAACCUGCGGUAUACAUUGGAAAAUCAUCGUUAGCUCGGGGAAUCCAAAGCUCGGGCGCAGGCGUCCAGCAGAUUGCCAUGGACAUCGCAAUACCAGCGCUGCUACUCGUCCUGCUGGCUCACGUGCCGCCAUCAUCAGCUCAAGCGUGUAAGCUGAAAGGCUUGAAAAAGAUUGACUGGGACAAGUUUGCGAGCAAGGAAUGGUACGCAGCGGUCGGCAAGAGGGUACACCACGAGUACCUCGUAUGCACUUCAAGGCUUUAUUACCCCAAGAAAGGCCGCGUCGUUGAAGUUCAAAGACACGGGAGGGUCGGUGCUAAAUCUUGGAAUGAAACUGCAUCCGGCGGCAAGGUCGAAUCAGACAAAAUUCGAUUUAUUGAAGGCAAGUCAAGCACUUUUCUUUCCUACA